AUUGAACGCUGGCGGCAGGCCUAACACAUGCAAGUCGAGCGGUAGCACAGAGAGCUUGCUCUCGGGUGACGAGCGGCGGACGGGUGAGUAAUGUCUGGGAAACUGCCUGAUGGAGGGGGAUAACUACUGGAAACGGUAGCUAAUACCGCAUAAUGUCGCAAGACCAAAGUGGGGGACCUUCGGGCCUCAUGCCAUCAGAUGUGCCCAGAUGGGAUUAGCUAGUAGGUGGGGUAACGGCUCACCUAGGCGACGAUCCCUAGCUGGUCUGAGAGGAUGACCAGCCACACUGGAACUGAGACACGGUCCAGACUCCUACGGGAGGCAGCAGUGGGGAAUAUUGCACAAUGGGCGCAAGCCUGAUGCAGCCAUGCCGCGUGUGUGAAGAAGGCCUUCGGGUUGUAAAGCACUUUCAGCGGGGAGGAAGGCGGUGAGGUUAAUAACCUCAUCGAUUGACGUUACCCGCAGAAGAAGCACCGGCUAACUCCGUGCCAGCAGCCGCGGUAAUACGGAGGGUGCAAGCGUUAAUCGGAAUUACUGGGCGUAAAGCGCACGCAGGCGGUCUGUCAAGUCGGAUGUGAAAUCCCCGGGCUCAACCUGGGAACUGCAUUCGAAACUGGCAGGCUAGAGUCUUGUAGAGGGGGGUAGAAUUCCAGGUGUAGCGGUGAAAUGCGUAGAGAUCUGGAGGAAUACCGGUGGCGAAGGCGGCCCCCUGGACAAAGACUGACGCUCAGGUGCGAAAGCGUGGGGAGCAAACAGGAUUAGAUACCCUGGUAGUCCACGCCGUAAACGAUGUCGAUUUGGAGGUUGUGCCCUUGAGGCGUGGCUUCCGGAGCUAACGCGUUAAAUCGACCGCCUGGGGAGUACGGCCGCAAGGUUAAAACUCAAAUGAAUUGACGGGGGCCCGCACAAGCGGUGGAGCAUGUGGUUUAAUUCGAUGCAACGCGAAGAACCUUACCUGGUCUUGACAUCCACAGAACUUAGCAGAGAUGCUUUGGUGCCUUCGGGAACUGUGAGACAGGUGCUGCAUGGCUGUCGUCAGCUCGUGUUGUGAAAUGUUGGGUUAAGUCCCGCAACGAGCGCAACCCUUAUCCUUUGUUGCCAGCGGUUAGGCCGGGAACUCAAAGGAGACUGCCAGUGAUAAACUGGAGGAAGGUGGGGAUGACGUCAAGUCAUCAUGGCCCUUACGACCAGGGCUACACACGUGCUACAAUGGCAUAUACAAAGAGAAGCGACCUCGCGAGAGCAAGCGGACCUCAUAAAGUAUGUCGUAGUCCGGAUUGGAGUCUGCAACUCGACUCCAUGAAGUCGGAAUCGCUAGUAAUCGUAGAUCAGAAUGCUACGGUGAAUACGUUCCCGGGCCUUGUACACACCGCCCGUCACACCAUGGGAGUGGGUUGCAAAAGAAGUAGGUAGCUUAACCUUCGGGAGGGCGCUUACCACUUUGUGAUUCAUGACUGGAGUGA
rnacentral:rRNA from 1 species